rnacentral:rRNA from 2 species
UGGCUCAGGAUGAACGCUGCGGCGUGCCUAAUACAUGCAAGUCGAGCGAAUGGAUUGAGAGCUUGCUCUCAAGAAGUUAGCGGCGGACGGGUGAGUAACACGUGGGUAACCUGCCCAUAAGACUGGGAUAACUCCGGGAAACCGGGGCUAAUACCGGAUAACAUUUUGAACCGCAUGGUUCGAAAUUGAAAGGCGGCUUCGGCUGUCACUUAUGGAUGGACCCGCGUCGCAUUAGCUAUUUGGUGAGGUAACGGCUCACCAAGGCAACGAUGCGUAGCCGACCUGAGAGGGUGAUCGGCCACACUGGGACUGAGACACGGCCCAGACUCCUACGGGAGGCAGCAGUAGGGAAUCUUCCGCAAUGGACGAAAGUCUGACGGAGCAACGCCGCGUGAGUGAUGAAGGCUUUCGGGUCGUAAAACUCUGUUGUUAGGGAAGAACAAGUGCUAGUUGAAUAAGCUGGCACCUUGACGGUACCUAACCAGAAAGCCACGGCUAACUACGUGCCAGCAGCCGCGGUAAUACGUAGGUGGCAAGCGUUAUCCGGAAUUAUUGGGCGUAAAGCGCGCGCAGGUGGUUUCUUAAGUCUGAUGUGAAAGCCCACGGCUCAACCGUGGAGGGUCAUUGGAAACUGGGAGACUUGAGUGCAGAAGAGGAAAGUGGAAUUCCAUGUGUAGCGGUGAAAUGCGUAGAGAUAUGGAGGAACACCAGUGGCGAAGGCGACUUUCUGGUCUGUAACUGACACUGAGGCGCGAAAGCGUGGGGAGC